AUAAUUUAAUCAAAUCAAAAAUCUAUCAAAUCGCCACAAGAAUAAUCAAAAACCAAAAAACAAUUUCAUCAACUCAAUGAUUUUGUAAAACUCGUUCAAAAUCCUAAGGACCGGGACAAUCGGAUCUAUAAUUAUUUCUCACAGCCAUAGAAAUCAAUUAUAGCUGACAACAGACUACAACAAACGAUGCAAUUUAAUGCACUUGUCCCUAGCUUAAGUACCAGCAAAUACUUAGGAUCCGCGAAGUAAACAGAAUGAUGUUUAACUUGGGAACAGUUUCUUUUUAGUGAAAUUUCAUAAAACUAACUUUUAGCAUUGUAGUUGAGAUGAAAAUGUAUUUUUAAAAUAUUUUUUUCAAUUGUUAAACGCGAUUUGGUAGCAGCACUAAAAACAAAAGGAGCAAAACAACAAAAAACUCUAACACAACUUACGAACUCUAUUAGCGAAGCGAAUCAUUACUAACCUUAACUCUUAAGCCGAGAGAAUGAAUUAAUCCAGAGAUAACAAAACGAAACGAAAAACAACGCAAUCGACAAUUCAAAAUGUAUCCGGAUAAUACGAAAGCGCAUCCUGUAAACGAUUCAUAAUAUUCAUGAUAAUAAAAUGAAAGCAAAAGCAAAUAAAUAAAAUUUUCAA